ensembl:lncRNA
AAAAACACAAGUAUAGGCUCAUAAGGCCACGAUGGUAAAAAAAAAUCUACAUUUCCGCAAAAUGACGUCACUUCCGGUUUCGGGCAGGUCAUGCGAGAAGGGUCUGGCUGCAGCCACUGUGGAGCUCCACAGUAACCGGAAACACGUGACCUCCACAGUAACCGGAAACACGUGACCUCCACAGUAGGCAGAAAUACGUUCCUGCGUGGAUCAUCGACUGUGGAAAUCUUGCAAGUGGAUCGUAAAGAUGCUCAUAUCAAUUUGGAGUUCUGCCUCCAAGCCAGAAUUGCAGGAAUGCACAACAUGUUGCAGAAGACUUUCACUGCCCUCUGUGCCCCACUCUCAGCCCUACUGUCAAGGCAAAGAUUGAGGAGCAUAUAAAUGGACACAUUAAAAAUGCUUUGCCUUUCAAAGACAAAAUGAUAUGCCGGUGCACUUUCACUGCCCUGUCUGUAACAUGACAGUCAUACAGCGUGGGGAUAUGGCAAGGCAAUUAUUGUCAUGUCAGCAUUCAGGACUGCUCCCCGCUGAACUCUCUGUGGAGCCACAUCUCCCUCUCGAUGUCUUGUCUCCAGCAUCUAAACCAUUUUCUGAAUCUUCAGUAGAACAUUCAUGUGCUCUACCCUCUGUGCUAAAUGAAACUGUGGCUUGUGGAAAGUCCUUGUCUUAGUCUUCUUAAAAAAAACUUCAAGGCUCACACGAUGAGGAGGCAUUCAAACAGGUCAAUAGAUGUUUGCCUGGCCUGUCAUCUGCAGUGUUUUUGUGUGGAGG